AACGAACGCUGGCGGCAGGCCUAACACAUGCAAGUCGAACGCUGUAGCAAUACAGAGUGGCAGACGGGUGAGUAACGCGUGGGAACCUUCCCAAUGGUGCGGAAUAGCUCAGGGAAACUUGAGGUAAUACCGCAUAAGCCCCUAGGGGGAAAGAUUUAUCGCCAUUGGAUGGGCCCGCGUCGGAUUAGCUAGUUGGUGAGGUAAUGGCUCACCAAGGCAACGAUCCGUAGCUGGUUUGAGAGAAUGACCAGCCACACUGGGACUGAGACACGGCCCAGACUCCUACGGGAGGCAGCAGUGGGGAAUCUUGGACAAUGGGCGCAAGCCUGAUCCAGCCAUGCCGCGUGAGUGACGAAGGCCUUAGGGUUGUAAAGCUCUUUUGCCGGGGACGAUAAUGACGGUACCCGGAGAAUAAGUCCCGGCUAACUUCGUGCCAGCCGCCGCAGUAAUAC
rnacentral:rRNA from 1 species